rnacentral:tRNA from 1 species
GGCUUUAUAAUAAAGGUGUUUUGAAAACACCUUAUAAGAUAUAAUCUUUAAAGUCA